CGAGACGUUUGGAGCGGUUUUUUUCUCUCCUCCAUGUCUCCUCCGGGGCUCCAAAGAUGCGCUCACAGAGAAGAAGAAGACAACAAAGCAGUCGCCGUCUUCACAACUCAGAGACAAACUGUAGCAGGCGCUACGAACCGGAGCAAGGACUAACCUCGCCUCAUAACGAGGCCGUGACCUAUAUUUGCUCGGAGCUGUCUGCAAGUCCAGAUUUACAUGACGCUGAUAAUGACGCCACUGUGUCUGCCUGUAAGACAUAUUACCAGACAGCACACAGGAGCUUCAGCUAGAAACAACCAGAUGUGGCAUCGCGGGCUGAAGCUGUGAAGAGUUCAGCUCGGAGUCGAUCGAUCGAGAAGAAAAGAGGCUGCUGGAAGCGAGACAGAGUGAGCUGGCUGCACCUGAGGUGACAUUUGGAAGUGCGCCACAUAAACCUACAGGACAACACACCACAGAC